CUCCUCCCCCGACCCUGGCCUAAUUGUCUGCACUUCUUUCCUUCUGCGAAGCUGAAGGAAGCUCCUACCCAGAUACUCGUAGUCCGGUAGGGCUAGGCGCUCUGGACUCAGCAUCCUUUGACCACGGUAGCUUCCAAAGCUCUAGCUCUCUGGCUUCCGGAACCCAGGUCGCCGGCUCUCUCCGUUGCCAUGGCAACCACGCGGCGGGAGGAGGCGGGAGGUGGAAAGGGUGUCUCGCCAACAGUCUCCGUAUCGCAACCCCAAGCUGGCCACACCGGUUCCGGGAGCAGUCGCUUCACGGCGGUCGAGUUUUCUUAGGACUCCCAUUCUUGAGGAGCUGGUUUUAGAGGAAUGUGAGGUGGAGAUUCCCUUGAAUCUGUCACAUUUCCCGGUGUCGAAAAAUUAUUGCCAGCCCUCCGCGUCCGCGAUUUCUGAAUUUCAUAACUGCUAUUUCUGCUUUAUACAGCUGUUAUCCUAACUUGCAGUAAUAGCUCCCACCCCUAAAUUCCCAUAAACACUUAAUGCCCCAUGACCUAUGUUUAUCUCUUUAUUAUUUGCUGCCUUAAAUUGCUACCAAGUGCUUUCACAGGCGUAUAUUUUGGCUGCUCCUUGAGGUCAGGAAUGUGUCUUUUCAGCCUAUGUCCAGGCUGGACACGCAGAAGAAAGGAAAGCAUUCAUUGGUGUUGAACGUCCCAGAUAUCCAGAUAUUUCUUUUUGCUCCUCUCCACUCCAGCAAUAGGCUCCUGUGAGUCACUCUGAGUUUGGAUGUGGUAAGGAUCAGAGCCAAACUAGGACCUGCAUUUAUGAUCUCGAGCAGAGAAACUGAGGAACAUGGCAGGAAAAUGACUUAUCUAGCAUCAUCCAGCCAAUCGUAACUGGAAGCUCCCAGAUAAAAGAAGAGAAUUUCAAGUCCAGGCUGAACAUUUGACAUCCUCUUAUUUGUGGAGCGUUAUCCUGGGACUUGGAGGGUGCUGCUGUUGGGAUCUGUGUGGUGGAGCUGGGAACCAGCCCCAAGAAUAUAGCUUUGUUUGGGCAUUAACCCAUUUGCGGUUAUAAUAAUGAUAAGUUUCAGCACCAGUGGCGCCCGACUGUUAAUGACUCAAAGAAAGCUAAAUAAGAACAAGAUGUCAUCUCUGGAGCAAUUAGUAGCUUUUUCCUACAGCUCCAUCCCUUCCAUAAAAAUCAUAAGGACCCUUAUAUUUAAAGUCAGUCUUCUACUCUUAAUGUCUUGAACAGUCUAUUGAGGAAGAAAAGGGUAGGAGGUUGCUAGACUAAGGCUUCAAGAAAAUUUGAGGUUGCACAGAAAUAACAGGUAGCCUUACUGGUGUUGGAAUUACUGACUGUUUUAUUUUUCUUCUUUAUACUUUUAUAUAUUCUCAAAAGUUUCUAUAAUAGGUAUGUAUUAUAACUUGAAAACAAACAAUAAAUGACUUGAAAAUCUUCAAAAUAUUUUUAAAGCAGAAGUGAUGACCUUCCAGAUAGUAUUUGUUUUUCCCAAGAAGGAACAGCUACUUUUAGACUUCUCUUCUACCAUAGAGUACAUGAUAACAGAUUUUGGCCACACUUCAGUAGCAGAGGACAUUUUUUAGUGAAAUAAACACAACAUGGGUCUUAAGAAGAGUGGAAAUACGCAAGACUUGUUAAAAGCAGAUGUAAUUCUGUGACCUUGUUGAAUGUUAAGGAAAGAAAAAAAAUGUCAACUUUCAAUUUGGAUGGGUUUUCAGAUUCUUAAAUUAUCAUAACAUACUUCUGAAAAGGUUACCUAAACAAAUAAUCAUCCCGGUAAACAACCAACUCAGAAGACAACUCCACAAUCCUGAGUGUAAGCAAGCGAUAUGAAAUUGAUCAAAGCAUAGGGAAGGUACCAGAUGUUAAAGUCAUUCCUACAGCAUAAGGAACAGAAACAUCAAGGUCAAAGCAAUCAGAAAAACACCUACAAGAGAUGAUAUGUGGAGACAUUAGUUUACCAGAUUAUAAUUCCUAAUUAUAAGGAGAAAAUUAAUAGACAUCUCUGGCUCUGCAGAGGACCUAUGACGAGACUGACACAGAAGAAAUUUCUCCCUUAAAUUGAGAACUACAGGAAAGCAAACAUGAAUGUACUAAAUAGUUUUAAACUUCAAGGAAACAAUAAGGAAAGAAAAAAUGCAGGCUGAAUUAUUGCUACAAAAUAGGUUCAAGAAACUAGGACAAGCUUUUAUCGACUCAUCAAGCAGAAAAGAUGCUAAAGGCAAAGUAGCUACUAAGAAAUGCAGGUCAUGAAAUUCAUGCUGAGCUCUUCUUAAAAGACUUAUCUUCCGUAAAAGCAAAGCAGAAACUAAGUGUGAUGCCACUGUAUGGGAUUAACAUGUUCAAAUUAAAAAAUGCUAUUUACAGACAAGUCAUUUUGAACUGCUACAGGUCAACAACCCAGAGAUUUGGGAGAAUUUGCAAAGAAAAGAAAAAGAAACAUUCACAAACUCUUAGUUAAAAAUAACUAAUGCAUUACAAGCAAGCGGUUAUGAGGACAUGGCUUAAAUUGAACCGGAGCUCAAAGGUGAUUACAGACUUGAACCUUCUUGUUAUAUUAUAUUUUCAAAUGCUGUAGAAAGAGUUGGGAAUUAUACUUUCAUACAGUUUGAAAGGGAAAGAGAUUUUCUGAUCUUUCUUGGUAGCUCACAAAACUUAGCUGUACCUUCCUCUGUCCUCGAGUAUGCACUUGAUAAGCAUUUAUGUCAUUAAAAAAAUUCUUUGAACUGUCCUACUAGAUUGUGAGUUCCUUGAAGGCAAGAGACAAUGUUCACUCAUUUUUAAGUUUCUAGGACAUGCAUAGUGCCUGACAGAAUAAAUACCUGUUAAGUAGACUCCCCCCCCCCCAGAUUAAAAGCCUAGAAAAUUAAAUCUAUCCAAUCCAUAGGAUUUAUGGUUUCCUCAUAGGAAUCAAUUCAUGAAAUAAAUUCAUUAAACAAAAAGGCCAGCAAAAUGCAAGGCGUUGUUGAGAAGGGCAUUAAAAAUCAAAUAGAGGGGCACCUGGCUGGCUCAGUUAGAAGAGUGCAGUGAUCUCAGGGUUGUGAGUUUGAACCCCAGGUUGGGUGUAGAAAUUACUUAAAUAAAUAAA